rnacentral:rRNA from 1 species
CCUACGGGAGGCAGCAGUGAGGAAUAUUGGUCAAUGGGCGUAAGCCUGAACCAGCCAAGUCGCGUGAGGGAUGAAGGUUCUAUGGAUCGUAAACCUCUUCUAUAAGGGAAUAAAGUGUGGGACGUGUCCUAUAUUGUAUGUACCUUAUGAAUAAGGAUCGGUUAACUCCGUGCCAGCAGCCGCGGUAAUACGGAGGUUGCGAGCGUUAUCCGGAUUUGUUGGGUUAAAGGGGUGCGUAGGCGGGCAUUUAAGCCGGCGGUCAAAUGUCGGGGCUCAACUCCGGCCUGCCGUCGGAACUGGGUGCCUUGAGUGGGCGAGAAGUAUGCGGAAUGCGUGGUGUAGCGGUGAAAUGCAUAGAUAUCACGCAGAACCCCGAUUGCGAAGGCAGCAUACCGGCGCCCUACUGACGCUGAGGCACGAAAGUGCGGGUAUCGAACAGGAUUAGAUACCCCAGUAGUC